rnacentral:rRNA from 1 species
GACGAACGCUGGCGGCGUGCUUAACACAUGCAAGUCGAGCGGUAAGGCCCUUUCGGGGGUACACGAGCGGCGAACGGGUGAGUAACACGUGGGUGACCUGCCCUCAGCUCUGGGAUAAGCCUGGGAAACCGGGUCUAAUACUGGAUAUGACUCCAUGACGCAUGUUGUGGGGUGGAAAGCCUUGUGCGGCUGAGGAUGGGCCCGCGGCCUAUCAGCUUGUUGGUGGGGUGANGGCCUACCAAGGCGACGACGGGUAGCCGGCCUGAGAGGGCGACCGGCCACACUGGGACUGAGACACGGCCCAGACUCCUACGGGAGGCAGCAGUGGGGAAUCUUGCGCAAUGGGCGAAAGCCUGACGCAGCGACGCCGCGUGAGGGAUGACGGCCCUCGGGUUGUAAACCCUCUU